CCAGCUGCUUCCACUCCAGGGUAGGUCUGAAGCCAACCGUCCUCAGUUUCCUGGCCUGUGGCUUCAGUCUGGUUGGAUUACACACAAAGCCCUGCAGAGCUGCUGCUUUUCCUGAUUCUCCUGCCUGAGUGAGUGCAAGGGGCUCCCCUGUUGCCGCCGACACGUUCUUUGAAGCAGAUGCUAUGCCUGAUGCCUGCUGGAGAGUCCCACCGCCUUGAUAAAGCUAAGCUUCAUCGGAAUAAUAACAGCCUGAGAAAUACCUAUCAAGAUCAAGUCAGGCCUCAAAGACUGAGUGCCCCCCUCCUCAGUCCUCCCCAGUCCCCCACCCCCAGCGCUACCCCCCAACAUUUUUAUGUUCUUCCUGAUUUUACUACAGUUUGUGACUUUCAACGUUAAGGAAAAGGAAAGGACGCAAAAUAAGCUCCAGCAACCAUUCAUAUGCUUUUAGAGAAGGCAGCCAAAGUUCUGCCUCUCUGGUAUUUCUUGCACCAAAAUUGGGCAGCUCCGACCACGAGGCCAGAAAUGGCUCAGGAGCUGCCUCUCCUCCACCUCUGAGAAGCGGAAGCUCACCCAACCUCAGCAACCCUGGGUUAGCACAAGUAUACCCACUUCCAUCUCUGAGCUUCACUCUGGCUUCUCAGAGUCCCGAGCAGCUUAUUUUCCAGCCAAGCACUGCAGUUUCUUCCAAGACAACAGAAUGUGCAACCGGCAUCUACAUUCUCGCAAUGAAGGACCGAGAAACACCCCCUGACAGUCACACUACAGGACAGUAACCACAGGGCUGGGGGCAGAGGCAGCCACUUUUCUAAAACGACAUAUCUUCAAAGUCUGAAAGAAACGCAGUGUCCCCGCCAGGACGCAGCAGCAUUUCCCACAGCCCAGACUCCAAGGCAAACUGCAGAAGCGACCCUAAAAAUGACAGAAACAUACUCACCAGGGAGAGGCUGGUGGCUCCACCUUCCCAGGAACUGUGCUGUGAACAUCUGAAGACAGGCACGGGCUCAGGCACCACUUGCCUAGAAUGUCAAUUUGAAACUUAAAAAGUGGCGACCAUCCAGUCAUUUAUUUCCCUCCAUUCCCAAUGAUGUACACACGACUAAGAAGGAAAAAAAAAAAAGGCGCACACCUCAGCCUUCAUUCUCAUUGGAACGAGAUGACUCAUGCUGACUCAUAGCCACCACUUCCUCUCCCGACAUUCUCUUCAUACUUGUGAGCUGGACUGGUCCGGUUCCCAGGGUCCCUGCAGCCCUUCCUGGAAGGGCAGCCUUCCUGAUCCUCUCAGAGAGACCCAAACACUGACCCCACAUGGGACCCAGGGGUCGCCCACACAGGGGAAAUGCUCUAUUUAGGAGUCUUGAGAACAACUGGAAAAUAAAAUGCAUGAACUUUG